CCUACGGGUGGCUGCAGUCGAGGAUCUUCGGCAAUGGGGGCAACCCUGACCGAGCGACGCCGCGUGGGCGACGAAGGCCUUCGGGUUGUAAAGCCCUGUCGAGGGGGAGGAAACCUUAACCGGUUGACCCAUCCCUGGAGGAAGCACGGGCUAAGUUCGUGCCAGCAGCCGCGGUAAGACGAACCGUGCGAACGUUGUUCGGAAUCACUGGGCUUGAAGGGCGCGUAGGCGGGCUGCCGCGUCCGGGGUGAAAUCCUCCGGCUCAACCGGAGAAC
rnacentral:rRNA from 1 species